UGUCGAUGAAGAGCGCAGCCAACUGUGUGAAUUAAUGUGAACUGCAUGCUGCUUUGAACAUCGACAUCUUGAACGCAUAUUGCGGUCACAGGCUAGCCUGUGGCCACGUCUGUCCGAGAGUCG
rnacentral:rRNA from 2 species